UACGUAGGUGGCAAGCGUUGUCCGGAUUUACUGGGCGUAAAGAGCGCGCAGGCGGUCGUUCAAGUCGCGUGUGAAAGCCCCCGGCUCAACUGGGGAGGGUCACGCGAUACUGAUCGACUCGAAGGCAGGAGAGGGAAGUGGAAUUCCCGGUGUAGUGGUGAAAUGCGUAGAUAUCUGGAGGAACACCGGUGGCGAAGGCGGCUUUCUGGACAAAUACCGACGCUGAGGCACGAAAGCGUGGGGAGCAAACAGG
rnacentral:rRNA from 1 species